rnacentral:rRNA from 1 species
CCUACGGGUAGCAGCAGUGAGGAAUAUUGGUCAAUGGUCGGGAGACUGAACCGGCCAAGCCGCGUGAGGGAGGAAGGUACAGAGUAUCGUAAACCUCUUUUGUCAGGGAACAAAGGCGGGGACGUGUCCCCGGAUGAGUGUACCUGAAGAAAAAGCAUCGGCUAACUCCGUGCCAGCAGCCGCGGUAAUCCGGAGGAUGCGAGCGUUAUCCGGAUUUAUGGGGUUUAAAGGGUGCGCGGGGGUUCUGUUAAGUCAGCGGUCAAAGCCCGGGGCUCAACCCCGGCCCGCCGUUGAAACUGGCAGUCUCGAGUUGGAGAGAAGUAUGCGGAAUGCGCGGUGUAGCGGUGAAAUGCAUAGAUAUCGCGCAGAACUCCGAUUGCGAAGGCAGCAUGCCGGCUCCACACUGACGCUGAGGCACGAAAGCGUGGGUAUCGAACAGGAUUAGAUACCCUUGUAGUC